rnacentral:lncRNA from 10 species
UAAGAUUUUGAAUACAUUUUGAAAGUAGAGCCAACAGGAUGUGCGGAUGGAUUAGAUGUGAGGAAAAAAAAGACGACUGAGGAGGUUCUGUCCCUCAGCAGCUGUAAGGAUGAAAGUGGCAUCUAUUGAGAUAUAGAAGAUAGGAGCAACAUUUUGGGGGAAAUAUCAGAAAUUUGGUUUUGAAUAUGAGAAGUAUGUGAUGUCUAUUAGACAUCCAAAUGGAAAUGUCUAAUAAGCAAAUUGGAUAAGCAAGCCUGGAAGUCAGAGAGAAAUGUGCUGAAGUCAAAGCUAUGAGGCAGUGACGUGAGACAGGUUUGAAGAUUAAGUCCUGAGCACUCUGUGCUUAGAGGUUAAGGAGAUAAGGAGACACCAGCAAAGGAGACUGAAGAGGAGUGAGCAGUAACGGAAGAGAGAAACCAGCAGACCGUUUCCUGCAGGCUGGGAAAGAAAGCGAAACAGGAAGGAAGAAGUCCGAACCACACCAGAUGCUGCUGGCACGUCUGCACGAGGACUGAGAACUGACGAGUGGGUUUGGCGAUGAGAACGCCGGAGGGGCCUUGGCAAGCAGUUUUAGCGCAGUGAGGCGGGAAGUCUGAUCGGAGCGUGGAAGUAGAGGAACUGAAGAUGGGGAAUAGAGGCAGCUUUUCAUGGAUUUAGAAGAAUUCUGCUUCAGGUUUUGCAUAAACCAUCUGACUGUAGUAACACAAACAUCAGGUUUUGCAGAAAUGGACCAUGAUCUCCUGAAGAACUUUAUCAGCAAAGCAAGCAGAGUUGGAGCCUUUAAAAAUUGAUCCCAUCUGCAGGAAAGUUUUUGAGCCUUUCCAUUUCCCCUGCAAAAGCCAGAGAUGAAUCACUUCUCUUUAAUUAAUAGUAUGUAUGAUGAGCUAUGUUUGGCUGAGUACUUGUAACUGUCAGAAGAAGGAUGGUGGUGAGUGGUCUUUGUCUGCCUAAACCCAGAGUUUAUGUAGAAAGCAUUGAAUGUUCUGAUCAGAUGUGACUAAGGUCAAGGAAAAAAAAUUGAAAUAUCUUAUUUACCAUUUCCUCUUUUUGAGUCACUUAAAUUGGACACCUUUGGUACCCUGGUCUCAGUAUAUGCUAUUCUGGCCCAAAUGUUCCAUUAUUCAGCUGGCUGAUACCACAUAGAUAGCUUGACAAGGAGUGCUGUCUGUCCUUACCACAUUUUCAGCACUCAGCACAGUGCCUUGUGUAUAAUAGGCACUCAAUUUAUUAUAAAUCUUCAGUAUGUCCUGAGAACAGCUUUAGUCAUGGAAUACUGGGAGAAGGAAUAACUUUCACAAAAUAAACUUAAAACAGCCUGUAAUUAUUGAGGUUCAUAUUCUUCUGGUAUAUCAUUCUGAGAAAUUGUGGCUAAUUUAGAACAUUGUUUAGAAUUGACAAAAGGCCCUGGCAAUUAAAUUGUCAAGGCCCAAGGGCUAAUUUUAAUUUUCUUUUUACUUGGAGUCAUUCAUUAAUUUCUCACAUGGGAUUAUGGAGUAUGAAGUAUUAUCUUUGAAUGAAAUUCCUGGGCUGAUCUGCCUUACAUAAUCACAUAAGGUCCUUUGCUUUUCUUUGUGUUAAGAGGGACUUGCCUCUGUAAAUGAAAAUGACAAUGUGCUUUUCUUGUAGUUGACUUUCAUGUCACUCACUAUAAAAUAGGUCUCUUAACCUGGCACCAGUAUAACUAUAAAGCACUAGCUGAGAAGGAACUGAUACUUACAUUUCAUGGACAGCAUUAACAAGAAUGAGAUAAAUUUGUACUUUUUAGAUCAAAACAAAUUACCUAAUUGCAAAAGAGAAACUGAAAUGGAACAUAGUCUCAGAUUCUUCUAAUGUGUAUCUCACAAUGUCAUGUAAUGUAAAGGAAACCCUUUUGGAAUUAGAAUUCUUGUUCUGAUGCUGAACUAUUUGGUAAUAAAGUGCUUAUUUGCAGAU